rnacentral:rRNA from 1 species
UACGUAGGGUGCGAGCGUUGUCCGGAAUUAGUGGGCGUAAAGGGCUCGUAGGCGGUUUGUCACGUCGGGAGUGAAAACUCGGGGCUCAACCCCGAGCCUGCUUCCGAUACGGGCAGACUAGAGGUAUGCAGGGGAGAAUGGAAUUCCUGGUGUAGCGGUGAAAUGCGCAGAUAUCAGGAGGAACAUCAGUGGCGAAGGCGGCCUGCUGGGCUGUUGCUGACGCUGAGGCGCGACAGCGUGGGGAGCAAACAGG